rnacentral:rRNA from 1 species
GUGGGGAAUAUUGGACAAUGGGCGAAAGCCUGAUCCAGCCAUGCCGCGUGUGUGAAGAAGGUCUUCGGAUUGUAAAGCACUUUAAGUUGGGAGGAAGGGCAGUAAGUUAAUACCUUGCUGUUUUGACGUUACCGACAGAAUAAGCACCGGCUAACUUCGUGCCAGCAGCCGCGGUAAUACGAAGGGUGCAAGCGUUAAUCGGAAUAACUGGGCGUAAAGCGCGCGUAGGUGGUUUUGUAAGUUGGAGGUGAAAUCCCCGGGCUCAACCUGGGAACUGCCUCCAAAACUGCAUGACUAGAGUACGGUAGAGGGUAGUGGAAUUUCCUGUGUAGCGGUGAAAUGCGUAGAUAUAGGAAGGAACACCAGUGGCGAAGGCGACUACCUGGACUGAUACUGACACUGAGGUGCGAAAGCGUGGGGAGCAAACAGGAUUAGAAACCCCUGUAGUCC